rfam:Ornithorhynchus anatinus chromosome 7, whole genome shotgun sequence.
CACCUCUCAGGGUCACACCUGGAGAGUUUCCAGUACUCUACCGGUCUCGACUAUGGGAGGGAGAGUCAAGAAGAGGCAUAUCCCUUCCAUUCCUAAUUUGGCCAGUGGCUAGUGAGUGGAAGGCAAUCUGCUACAAAU